AACGAACGCUGGCGGCAGGCCUAACACAUGCAAGUCGAGCGGGACCUUCGGGUCUAGCGGCGGACGGGUUAGUAACGCGUGGGAACGUGCCCAAAGGUACGGAAUAGCCUCGGGAAACUGAGAGUAAUACCGUAUGUGCCCCUCGGGGGAAAGAUUUAUCGCCUUUGGAUCGGCCCGCGUUGGAUUAGGUAGUUGGUGGGGUAAUGGCCUACCAAGCCGACGAUCCAUAGCUGGUUUGAGAGGAUGAUCAGCAACACUGGGACUGAGACACGGCCCAGACUCCUACGGGAGGCAGCAGUGGGGAAUCUUAGACAAUGGGGGAAACCCUGAUCUAGCCAUGCCGCGUGAGCGAUGAAGGCCUUAGGGUUGUAAAGCUCUUUCAGAUGGGAAGAUAAUGACGGUACCAUCAGAAGAAGCCCCGGCUAACUCCGU
rnacentral:rRNA from 1 species